AUUGUAUUAGUAUGUCCUUUUUGCAUACUUGAAAACUCCAGAAAGAAACUCCAAGUUCAGAUGUCUGUGAUCAUCCAAGUGGAACUGAAACUUGGGUCUUCUGACUUCUGGGUCAGUGUCUAUUCCAACAGGCUGCCUUCUCAGGAAGUGGAGGGGGAACAUACAAUCAGGCUCCUUAGCAUAAAGAAAAUGGGACUUGCAGGAUUGCUGUGAGGAAUAACAUCAUGCUGGGAUCCUGGAGGGAUGUUUUAGAUGCCAGGGGAGAAAGUGCCACUCCGAGCAGUCGUCUGCCUGGAUUACUGUGAACAAGAAACCAAAGACCAAACAUCUCCGUUUUCUCAGUCCAGGUUUCUGGUACCUGGGGAUUUCGUUCAAGUCGUGAUGCCUGAAGGACCAGAUGAUACACUGAGGAUAUGCAGCUUCAUGAUGUUUUACUUAGUGCUGUUGGAACAAAGUCAGCCAGAGAAGCUAUCUAUAUCUGAAAGAUGUCUUGGAUAUACAAUCUUAAAUUAACUCUUUUAUGCAUGUCUUAUUUUUAUUUCCAUAUUCUUUGUCUAUGUUCCUAACACCUCACAAAUUUCUCUCUAGAUCUCCCUGUAAGGUAGAGCUAAUUGGAAAACUUUCUUCCUCUAGUUACUCUGUAUUCAUUUACAUUUGUUUUUUUCUCAUUACAAUGCCAUUACUAUAAGGUUUGUAUCCUAUUGGCGGGGAAAAUGCUGGUUUAGCCCUAACCUCCUUCUUUGCCUCUGCUCGGCCACAGUCCUUCUGAUAUUUUGUUAAUUUCAGUUUUUUAAAGUUAAAAAUUUGUGAGCUAUUUCACAGUUGUGACUUCUUCUGUUUAUUCUCAUUCUCCUUCUCUCCCCUCAAGGUGUGGCUGUCUUAUAGUUUCUCCUGAAUUUAUGAAUUCAACUCACUGAUGCCUUCCCUUCCCUCUACAUCCUGGAUUUCUUCUCUGAUCAACAGUUUCCACUGAUCUGCAGGUUACAUGGGCCAUACAGAAUGAAUAAAGGAUUUUACACAAGAAUGAUAAAUGGUGAUAUUUGCACAGAAGGGAGCCUUCAAGCAACUGUGUGGAGGUUGGACUGGUGGAGAAUGAGACAAGAGGUCCUCUGGUUAUGCAGCUAUUGUAGUUUUUCAGGGGACCGCACUUGAUUCUCAGACUGAGGAGGAGAGAGAGAGACAAGACUGAAGCUGGAGGAGCAGCUGCUGGUCCACCCUGCUGCCAAGCCUUGGCAGCAGGUUCCUGGGGAAGCAGUAGGCACCUGGUUCACACAGGACCAGCACAGCUGGCCCAGCUUUUGACUGGCAGAGCGUGGCUUCCUUCGUCACCAAAGUGACUGGCCCUGUGAUCUUGCUACAGCCUGCUGAAACCGAGAGGGACACAGUGAAAGCAGUACACCUCAGCGGAGCAGGUGCAAGUCACAUUUCACUAAUGAACAAUGGGCACUUUGCAUACAGAGAGGCUUUGAUCUGAGAGCUAAAAAGCUCUUCUGUUGGACAGGAUGUUGGCUGAGGCAGGCAGCAGUGAGAAGCAUUGGGAAGGAUACUUUAUCUAAGAAGGUCAGUGCAAGAGCAAUCGUCAAAUAAUACUUGCAGAGUCAAACACUCCCAUUCUCAGAUAUUUCCUUGGGAGAAAGCAAUGAGUUUGUGGAAUUCUUUUAGUUGAUUCUAUAUAUGGACCAUCCCCCAGAUGAAUAAAACAUUUUCUCUAUAUUAAACUCAAAUCUGUCUUCUACCCAUUGGUUUCAGUUUUGCCUUGUGAGUUUAUAUAGAACAAGUCUACUUGAGGAAGAGGGUGUCCAUGUGAGAAUCUUCCAUAUGUUUGAAGACUACUCUCAUGUCUUCAAGGAAA
ensembl:lncRNA